AUCUUGAAAAUCUUGUUGACGAACUGUUUGGUAGGUAACGCCGGCAUUCUUCAGACCGAAAGGCAUUACUUUGUAGCAGUAUAUGCCUUUGCGGUCACAAAAGUCAUGUGUUCUUCAUCUUCUGAUGCCAUGCGGAUUUGAUUAUAUCCAGCGAAGGCAUCCAUGAAGCUCAAAAAUUGGUGGUCAGAAGUCGCAUCAACCAAUUGAUCAAUCUUCGACAAUGAGA
rnacentral:lncRNA from 1 species